GUUAUGAGCUUUAAAUUCAAAGAAUUUGGCGGUAUUUUAGUCUUGUUAGAGGAACCUGUUCUGUAAACGAUACUACACGAAGAAUCUUACUUACUUUUGUUUUCAGUUUGUAUACCGUCAUUAUUAGAUAACCUUUAUUGAGGGAGUUAUUGUAAUAUGUGGAGUCAGAUAUAUUAGAUCAAGGUGCAGCUUAUAGGUAAGAAGAAAUGGGUUACAAUAAAAUUUAUUUAAAUGUAUUAGUGGUUGAAUGAUUGUU
rnacentral:rRNA from 1 species